GAUGAACGCUGGCGGCGUGCCUAAUACAUGCAAGUCGAGCGAACGGACGAGAAGCUUGCUUCUCUGAUUUUAGCGGCGGACGGGUGAGUAACACGUGGAUAACCUACCUAUAAGACUGGGAUAACUUCGGGAAACCGGAGCCAAUACCGGAUAAUAUUUUGAACUGCAUGGUUCAAAAGUGAAAGACGGUCUUGCUGUCACUUAUAGAUGGAUCCGCGCUGCAUUAGCUAGUUGGUAAGGUAACGGCUUACCAAGGCAACGAUGCAUAGCCGACCUGAGAGGGUGAUCGGCCACACUGGAACUGAGACACGGUCCAGACUCCUACGGGAGGCAGCAGUAGGGAAUCUUCCGCAAAGGGCGAAAGCCUGACGGAGCAACGCCGCGUGAGUGAUGAAGGUCUUCGGAUCGUAAAACUCUGUUAUUAGGGAAGAACAUAUGUGUAAGUAACUGUGCACAUCUUGACGGUACCUAAUCAGAAAGCCACGGCUAACUACGUG
rnacentral:rRNA from 1 species